rnacentral:rRNA from 1 species
GUGGAGCGACGAACCAGGGCUUGCCCUGGGGCAGAGCCGCGAACGGGUGAGUAACACGUGGGUUACCUGCCCCGAUGACCGGGACAACCCGAGGAAACUCGGGCUAAUACCGGAUGUGCCCGCAAGGGGAAAGGAAGCUUCGGCCUCCGCAUCGGGAUGGGCCCGCGGCCCAUUAGCUUGUUGGUGGGGUAAUGGCCUACCAAGGCUGCGAUGGGUAGCUGGUCUGAGAGGACGAUCAGCCACACUGGGACUGAGACACGGCCCAGACUCCUACGGGAGGCAGCAGUGGGGAAUCUUGCGCAAUGCGCGAAAGCGUGACGCAGCAACGCCGCGUGGGGGAAGACGGCUUUCGGGUUGUAAACCCCUUUCAGUUGGGACGAAGCUUCGGCGGUGAAUAGCCGUCUGGAGUGACGGUACCUUCACAAGAAGCACCGGCUAACUACGUGCCAGCAGCCGCGGUAAUACGUAGGGUGCAAGCGUUGUCCGGAAUCAUUGGGCGUAAAGAGCGUGUAGGCGGCCCGAUUAGUCCGCUGUGAAAGUCCAGGGCUCAACCCUGGAAUGCCGGUGGAUACUGUCGAGCUAGAGUCCGGAAGGGGCGAGUGGAAUUCCUGGUGUAGCGGUGAAAUGCGCAGAUAUCAGGAGGAACACCAAUGGCGAAGGCAGCUCGCUGGGACGGUACUGACGCUGAGACGCGAAAGCGUG